AGUACGAACGCAAGUUUGAAACUCAAAGGAAUUGACGGGGGCCCGCACAAGCGGUGGAUUAUGUGGUUUAAUUCGAUGAUACGCGAGGAACCUUACCAAGACUUAAAUGGGAAUUGAUCGGUUUAGAAAUAGACCUUCCUUCGGGCAAUUUUCAAGGUGCUGCAUG
rnacentral:rRNA from 1 species